UUAGAAAGAACUGCAACACCGCUGCAGCUGCAAAAAAGAGGGAGACGGCGUGGAGAACAUUGUUGCCCGGGUCAAUGCGGAAGUUUAAAUGGAGUCCUUUGUAAUCGUAAUAAUAUUGCAGGGAAUAACUGUCUGAAUGGCAGCCGAGUAAGUUAUUUCAUUUAGGUGAAAUCUCGCCUUCUUUCAUUAUAUAUAUAUCAAAUCUUUUUUUCCUACCGAGCCCCGGAAGGGACAUGUCCAUAUGGCGAAGCGACAAUGAAGGACACUCACCCGGACGAGAAUUUUAUUGAGUUUUAUUUUGAAAUCGGCCUGAAAUACACAGACAUUCAAGCAGUGCGAUGCGCUAAGAGUCUGCCAUGCAGACCAGCGAUCCUGAUAAUGUUGUCAGCCUUGGAUGAUGAGGUCCAGUUACCAGGAGCACUAGUCUGCAGCUUACUGGUUCCGUCCUGCAGCUCCUCCACGCUGUCCUCCUCUCUACAGACCAAAUCAAGA